GAGGAUGGUCAUUUUUACUAAGUACAUAUUUUACUAUCAGAAUUUUAAUUUGUGUUAUUUUUUCAUUUUACAAAGGUAAAGGCUUCCAGUCUAGUCGAACUAACUUAACGGAAUCAAUUUGAUUGUAACUCGGACAAUGCAGCCUGGGACUUAUAAGGCUUUGCGGUUUUCUAUAGCUCUGGACCAGGGCGNNNNNNNNNNAAAAAUAUUUUCUUUCACACGUUGAUGGGCUAUAUUAGCAUAUUAUAGUGGUGAGUAAUGAAAUUAGCAUGCUGUCAAUCAUGCUGAAUCAUCCAGGUUACCAUGCAAUAAAAACGUGGCCAAUAAAUUAUAGCGAGUGUACUUUGGGAUAUCCUGGUUUCACACUCAACUCACCUAUUGAACCGAACACAAAUGUAAUUCUAAUAUGCAUAGUCACUUCACCCCUACCAACAUGUACAAAUGACCUCAACUAACCUGUAGCUCCCUGUAUAUAGCCUCGUUAUUGUUGUUUUAUUGUGUUACUUUAUAUUAUUUUUUACUUUAGUUUAUUUGUUAAAUAUUUUCUUAACUCUUCUUGCACUGUUGGUUAAGGGCUUGUAAGUAAGCAUUUCACGGUAAGGUCUACUACACUUGUUGUAUUCGGUGCAUGUGACAAAUAAAGUUGGAUUUGAUUCUAAUAUUGAAUAUCAAACCUAGUUGAUUAACAUGGACGUUAUGUCAGUAUGGGAAAGUACAUUGUUACAAGUAUAUAGGCCGUCAUUGUAAAUACGAAUUCGUUCUAUUAAUUGCAAAAUAUAGACAGUGUAGUUCUCAGUUAUGCUAAAACACCCCUUCGACUCAUUGCAGUUGGUCUAGUCCAGGCGGCAGCGUCUGGCUCAGCGGAGGAGCAUCUUGAAAGUUUUUCAACAUCACGCCAAUGUUGUUACUUUUUCACUGUCCUCCAGAACUCUCAAACUACGUUCCGUUAUUUUAGGGAUCAUUGGUCUAAUUUCUAUGUCUGGAUAACCUCAACAACAUCAUUUUGUUUAAGAUAUUCAGGUGUUUGCUGGUUUCAUCUGUCGACAGCAGAAAAUGAACGACACAUUCCCCCUAACCAGAAAGAAGAAGUGAAGGAGUGGGGAGAUCGUUGGAGAGAAAAGAGAGAGACUGAAGAGGGUCUAAACUGAAGGAGUGGGGAGA
rnacentral:lncRNA from 13 species